GGGGAGGUAGCGAAGUGGCUAAACGCGGCUGACUGUAACUCAGUUCUCUACGAGUUCGAUGGUUCGAAUCCGUCUCUCCCCACCA
rnacentral:tRNA from 8 species